CCUACGGGAGGCAGCAGUGAGGAAUAUUGGUCAAUGGGCGCGAGCCUGAACCAGCCAAGUAGCGUGAAGGAUGACUGCCCUACGGGUUGUAAACUUCUUUUAUAAAGGAAUAAAGUGAGGCACGUGUGCCUUUUUGUGUGUACUUUAUGAAUAAGGAUCGGCUAACUCCGUGCCAGCAGCCGCGGUAAUACGGAGGAUCCGAGCGUUAUCCGGAUUUAUUGGGUUUAAAGGGAGCGUAGGUGGGUUGUUAAGUCAGUUGUGAAAGUUUGCGGCUCAACCGUAAAAUUGCAAUUGAUACUGGCAGCCUUGAGUGCAGGUGAGGUAGGCGGAAUUCGUGGUGUAGCGGUGAAAUGCAUAGAUAUCACGAAGAACUCCGAUUGCGAAGGCAGCUUACUAACCUGCCACUGACAUUGAUGCUCGAAAGUGUGGGUAUCAAACAGGAUUAGAUACCCUAGUAGUC
rnacentral:rRNA from 1 species